UACGUAGGGGGCAAGCGUUGUCCGGAUUUAUUGGGCGUAAAGAGCGUGUAGGCGGUCAGGUAGGUCCGUUGUGAAAACUCGAGGCUCAACCUCGAGACGCCGAUGGAAACCAUCUGACUAGAGUCCGGAAGAGGAGAGUGGAAUUCCUGGUGUAGCGGUGAAAUGCGCAGAUAUCAGGAAGAACACCGGUGGCGAAGGCGGCCUGCUGGGCUAUGGCCGACACUGAGGCGCGACAGCGUGGGGAGCAAACAGG
rnacentral:rRNA from 1 species